GACGAACGCUGGCGGCGUGCCUAAUACAUGCAAGUUGAGCGCUGAAGGUUGGUACUUGUACCAACUGGAUGAGCAGCGAACGGGUGAGUAACGCGUGGGGAAUCUGCCUUUGAGCGGGGGACAACAUUUGGAAACGAAUGCUAAUACCGCAUAAAAACUUUAAACACAAGUUUUAAGUUUGAAAGAUGCAAUUGCAUCACUCAAAGAUGAUCCCGCGUUGUAUUAGCUAGUUGGUGAGGUAAAGGCUCACCAAGGCGAAGAUACAUAGCCGACCUGAGAGGGGGAUCGGCCACAUUGGGAAUGGGACACGGCCCAAACUCCUAAGGGGGGCAGCAGUAGGGAAUCUUCGGCAAUAGACGAAAGUCUGACCGGGCAACGCCGCGUGAGGGAAGAAGGGUUUCGGAUCGUAAAAAUCUGUUGGUAGAGAAGAACGUUGGUGGGAGUGGAAAGCUCAUCAAGUGACGGUAACUACCCAGAAAGGGACGGCUAACUACGUG
rnacentral:rRNA from 1 species